ACAGAGGUGGCAAGCGUUGUUCGGAAUUACUGGGCGUAAAGGGCGCGUAGGCGGCCUUGUAAGUCUCGUGUGAAAGCCCUCGGCUUAACUGAGGAUCUGCACGGGAUACUGCGAGGCUUGAGUUCGGGAGAGGAAAGCGGAAUUCCGGGUGUAGCGGUGAAAUGCGUAGAUAUCCGGAGGAACACCAGUGGCGAAGGCGGCUUUCUGGACCGACACUGACGCUGAGGCGCGAAAGCUAGGGGAGCAAACGGGAUUAGAUACCCCGGUAGUCCUAGCUGUAAACGAUGAUCGCUGGGUGUGGGGGGUUUUUACUCCCCCCGUGCCGAAGCUAACGCAUUAAGCGAUCCGCCUGGGGAGUACGGUCGCAAGGCUG
rnacentral:rRNA from 1 species